rnacentral:misc_RNA from 1 species
GAUGAAGAACGCAGCGAAAUGCGAUAAGUAAUGUGAAUUGCAGAAUUCAGUGAAUCAACGAAUCUUUGAACGCACCUUGCACCCUUUGGUAUUCCGAAGGGUAUGCUCGUUUGAGUGUCAUUGUACUCUCACACUUCUAAUUCCUUUCGGGAUUGGGAGCGGUGGACUUGGGUGUUGCUGCUUUAGUUGUGGCUCACCUCAAAUAAGUUAGUGCAACUCUUGGUUGGACAUAGUACGGCGUGAUAAGUGUCUUCGCCGGCGCCUCUGUAAGGAGGGUGGCCGAUCGGGAGCUCUGUGCUUCAAACCGUCUUCGGACAAUCUUUGACAACUUGACCUCAAAUCGAGUAGGACUACCCGCUGAACUUAAGCAUAUCAAUAAGCGGAGGA